CUUGAUAUUGACAUUGUCUAAACUGGACAGCAUGGAGUGCCUGCCUGCCUUAAUGCCUGGGGACUUCUCAGUGAUUUUCUCAGCUUGUAUAGAGGGAUCUUCCAGGACAGACCACCAGUCUUCACUAGGAAUUGGCUAGUUGUCAUGAAACCCUAUGUGGCCCUACCCCGAUUUGCUUACUUGUCUAGCAUCAUGGCAUUGCCAAACGCUACCCUUGACAAUCAGCAUCUCCUCAUAUAAAUGCAUUGAAUCAAUGCAUCUCUAUGGGGAAAGUUCAGUGUCUCCAUGCAGAGCGUGGAGACGCUAAACGUCAGUGAUGCACAGUAUGGUGGUGUCACUGGAGGUGUCCCUAGACAGCAAUGUAAACACUGCCUUUUCUCUGAAAACCAGUGUUUACAACAAAAUGCCUGCAGGGAAUGACUGUACUCACCAGAACAACUAUAUUAAGCUGUGGUUGUUCUGGUGACUAUAGUGUCCCUUUAAGAAAAUGAAAAAGUCUUCUCUUUUUGUGCAAUACAUUUGUGAAAUUUCCUCAUUUACAAAGUAUGCU